GACAUCCAUACUAUCAGUGUGUUGUUGCACAUGUUCCCCCUUUUUUUCAUUAGUUCUAUAUUUACCCUAUAGCUGCAUCUUGCAAUUUUCGUAAAUCAAAAACUUUUACAAAUAUAACAAUUUUGAAUAAUAUCAAAAAAUAUUGUUUCAAAAUUUGACACACAAAUGUGAUAAAUCUAGAUAAAUGUCGAACAAAAAAUGACAAAAUUUGGCGAAAAAAAAGAAGGGUUAUAUAGCAAGCUACAAGUCGUCGCUGCCUCCUGGCCGGGCCAGUGGGCCGUUGCUGCCGUCAACCCUGGCCGGGCCACCGCCAUCGAUUCCUCUCCAAGUUGAGUUGCCACCGCCGCCUCCUCCCCACGUUGAGCUGCCGCCGUCGCCCCCUGGCCGGGCCGCCACCGUCACCUCCUCCCCAUGCCGAGUCGCCACCGCCGCCUCCUCCCAGCGUCGAGCUGCCACCGUCGUCACCCGCUGGCUGGGCUGCCGCCGUCGCCUCCUCUCCGUGCUGAGCUACUGCCGCCUGACUGGGAUGUCGUCGUCGCCUCUUCACUCUCGCAGAGUCGCUGCUGCCGCCUCCAAGCUCCCUGCCCGCCACCACCUUCAAGCCUCCUCUCAGCCGCCACCUAACCCCCUCCCCAUCGUCGCCUCCAAGCCUCCUCACCCACGCCGCCACGCCCUCUCCCCAUGCAGGGCAGGAGGGGUCUGCGCCGAGGCGCCACCUGCUGAUGCCUGCUCACCGCCACCCGCCGACGCCCGCUCAUCACCGCCUGCUGCGCUACCCGAUGCCGCUGGAUGGGGUUUUCGUGAGAGGCUGGAAUAGUUUCCCCUAUUAGAUAUUUUCUUUUCUUUCUCUAUUUAUUUAAUACCAUAAGUCCAGUCCCACUCACUUCCGUCUAAACCAGGGGCAAACGGCUCUUUCGGUUUAAAAACGUGGGGGCAAAAACGAAAACCCUAAAAUGUAGGGGCAAAAUCAAUAUUGGACUUCAAAACUAAGGUGAAAAAUGCUCUCCGCAGCCUCCAAUUGCCAAUUCUUGAACUUCUGAAGGAUUUUACAAAUGUCAUGUUCUUCUGAUUCUUCAGAAGAGGAAUAAAGCUGAGGAACACAGGGGUAACUAAGGAAGGAAAACAGAGUAUUGUUUACUUCUGAAAACCAUGAAGAUGAAGCCUUAUGGUGUUAUAGCAUUGUCAGGCCCCAAAGUUCAGAAAUGGAAACCAUUCAGAGUCACCAGAAUUCAGAAAAGUACACAACAUUCUUGUAACAGAGUGAAGUCUGCAAGCAUUGUACCAGUUCAGCAAUUUAACUUCAAAGACAUCUGACGUCCGAGAGGACAAGGAAGAGAUGCCAUAGAGAUAGAGAUCGUGCUGCUGGAGUUCUGCCUGGAAUAGUUCUUUUCAGUAAUCACUGCUAUUAAUCAUUUGCCUCUUACAUUUUUGGCGCAAGAUUAAAAAAUUAUGAACAGAGUUUACUUCUGAUUAAAUGUGAUGAUACUGUAAACACUUGAAAUUAUGUUAAUGUAAUGAAGCAACUAUGUAUGACAAACACGAAAUUUCAAAUAGACAGGUUACAAUUUUUUCAUGAAAACUUUUGUCGAUGUUGACAAAUAGCGAGGGACCUGAAAAACCGGAAGUAUCAGAACUGAAAAACUGGCCGAUUGCUUUGCCGUCGGCGAGGCCGCGGCACGUGGAGGUCGCCAACGCCGAGGAGUCGAUGGGCCUUACAGUGACGGCAUAAAUCCGAUUGAUCUUCGCCCAUCUAACAAAAUCUCAGCCUGCCUCCGAUGCAUGGAAGCCCAUUAAAAAAAAUAGGAAUCCACCAACACACAUCCACUCCCCACUUGCGCUCCUUGCGGCGCCGUCGUCGGCGGCGCCGCCCCGCCAUCGAUGGACCUAGCAGCGGCGGGGGAUGGUGCGUUUCGUCGCCGUCGUGGGGUCGAGCAGGGAGUGGAAGCGGACCUCCAUUGUUAGCGCAAUCGUCUCCGAGGUCUCGGGCGACGAGCAGUUCGAUCUAUUUGUGACCGAGAAAUAGGAGCUCGAAAAGCCAUGGCGGCGCUGUCGAGCAAUGCCCCCAACCCUGGCUCUCUCCGGCCGCAAGGUAGCAGCUAUCAUGUCAUCUGAAGUUCAGUUUGCAAAAGAUGAGGAGAAUAAACUUGAUGCAAGUCACUUGGCACAAGUGCUGCUAAGCAAGGGAUACGAGGAACACUGCAGUCAGCCCAGUACAAUGUAUAGCCAUUUUUUUUUUACUGGAAUUAGAUGUUGGAAGCAUGGUCAUCUCAUCUGGCUAGGAUCUACAGGACUCCAAUACUGCACAUAUAUGAUCCAGGAACCAGCACUGAAUCGAAGCAGGCCUCCAAUUGUACACUCCUCUCCAAGGUCUCUGGCUGGUUGUCGGGCAACUCCCCCAAUCCCGAAACCCUCUCCCUGUUACUCCCCUUCCAUUUCAGCUUAAAAUGGGAGAACCUGGCGUUACUAGAUUGUGCACACGUAAUGUUAAAUUCGAUUGUGGAAGACAAUUUGCCAUGUAUGAAUGAAGAAUUGACACUGUUUGGCUAAGUGAGUCAUAGUCUCAUUCUCCAUGAUACACAAAGCGAGCAAGAUGAGUUACAUGGCCAUCCCAUGAGGGAUGAGGCCAUGACGGUAAUGCCUCAGUUUUAUUAGUGAAUUGAAUUAGUGUGGGUACCGGUUCUUCUGCCUGAGAUGUUCAGGUUGUUCAGAUACUAAUAAUUAUCUUUUUAGUUUACUUUGUUACCCUUAAUUUGCGUUUAUGCUUGUUUAAUUGUAGAUAGUACUUCAGUUUGCAGAAGAUGAUCAGAUCAAACUUGUUGUAAGUUACUCGACACAAGUGCCGCUGACAAGAAAGUAGAGAGUAAAGAAACAGGCCAGACGGGAGAGUGUACUCCAGUACGGUGUAAAGCCACCGUUGGGCGCUGGAGAUGACACAUCUUGCUGGACUGGAGAUGAUCCAUUUGCAGAAGUGGAGAUGACACAUCUUGCUGGAGAUGGCCUGUACACAAGAAGCCUACUGAGUUUUUAGAAAAUUGUGGCGUGGUGUAAUAUUUUGCUGCUCGCUUCAGAUUGCAUUUAAUCAGAUGCAAAGGAAUCAUAUUGUUAAUCGGCUGUGCAGGAAUCUGUCUCUUGUUAUAUUGGAGCCUGCAAAAGGUGGUUGUAAAGUCUUGGGGAUAGCAUUUUUUGUUUUGUACAACCUUCAGUAAAAUAUGUAAGAUGUAAUUGUCAGUAUACAUCCUGAUACGGUGGUACCUGACAUAAAUUAGGGGAACAGCAGCUAUUUUGUAUCAGCUGGCAUGUCGGUUUCUGUAAUUUGAUGCAAGAAAAGUGCCAGGGUGCCAGUGGGCAGUGGCAGUCAUGUUA